CAAGGUAGAGCGUGCUGAGAGAGGGAGGAGGGAGCAGGGGGCUGAGCUGAUCCCACGUGUGACGCUUUCAUUCCCGGCUCAGUAAUAUUCUCAUAGCGGGGCUUUGCAUAUCUCCUGCCGUAUCUGUGUGUGUCUGUCACUGUUACUGUAGUCCCAGCCUAUAGUUUGAAAUAGAUAUGGAAGGAGACGGGAGUCAAGCCACAUCCGGAAGCCUAAAUGAUUCACAACAUGACCCGGGUAAAAUGUUUAUCGGUGGCCUCAGCUGGCAAACCUCACCAGACAGCCUUAGAGACUAUUUUAGUAAAUUCGGAGAAAUAAGAGAAUGUAUGGUGAUGAGAGAUCCCACGACAAAACGCUCAAGAGGAUUUGGGUUCGUUACGUUUACAGAUGCUGCCAGUGUAGAUAAAGUCUUAGCUCAACAACACCACGAAUUAGACUCAAAGACGAUUGAUCCUAAGGUUGCCUUUCCACGUCGCGCCCAGCCUAAGAUGGUCACAAGAACAAAGAAAAUAUUUGUGGGUGGCUUGUCAGCCAAUACAGUAGUGGAAGAUGUGAAGCAGUAUUUUGAACAGUUUGGGAAGGUUGAUGAUGCCAUGCUAAUGUUUGAUAAGACUACUAACAGACAUAGAGGAUUUGGCUUCAUAACUUUUGAGAGUGAAGACAUCGUAGAGAAAGUCUGUGAAAUUCAUUUUCAUGAAAUCAAUAACAAAAUGGUAGAAUGUAAGAAGGCCCAGCCCAAGGAGGUGAUGUUCCCACCAGGUACACGAGGGCGAGCCAGGGGUCUGCCCUACACCAUGGAUGCCUUCAUGCUGGGAAUGGGGAUGCUGAGCUAUCCUAAUAUUGUGGCAACGUAUGGCCGUGGAUACACUGGAUUCGCACCAAGCUACAGCUACCAGUUCCCUGGCUUCCCAGCGACGGCAUACGGACCGGUGGCGGCAGCGGCAGUAGCAGCAGCGCGUGGCUCAGGUAGGGGGGCCCGUGGAAGAGGCGGCUACUUGGCGUACCCACAGAGCACAGGGCCAGGCCUCCCCGAUUAUGGGUUUUACUCUACGCCCAGUGACCAGAGGGGGGGGCCCUGCUCCUUUGCUGACUAUGGCUCCCUGGGGCCCCAAGCGGCUCAGAUGCUGCACAGUGAGCAUGCCACCUCCGCCUGCAACUCCCCCCUCCAGCACCUACACAGCCCGGAUCAAUUUAAGAACCCAGGCGGCAACCCAUCAAGGCCCGGAGGUUUCCCUGGUGCUAACAGUCCAGGGCCUGUUGCUGACCUGUACGGACCUAGCAGCCAGGAUUCAGCUGUGGGCAACUACAUCAGUGCUGCUAGCCCUCAGCCUGGCUCUGGGUUUGGCCCAAGCAUCACAGGCCCGUUGAUUGCGACAGCUUUUACAAAUGGAUACCAUUGAACAGGUGGCCGGUUGCCAUCUCAUCAGAGAUGACAGAGCUGGUAGUAAAGGAGUAUAACUGGUGGCCCAGGAAAGACAGGACGAAGUUUCUAAUUGGCUUUGUGUGCAGGUGAUGCUAUCCAACUUCAAGCACUACAGUGUCACCCAGGCAAAAAGAACGAAAGACGGAACCAUAUGAAGAAGAAAAGAAAAACGUUAGUCAUCUCAGAAAAAUAACAACUGCUGUACUAUAAUCCAAACCUACUAUAACUUUACAACCUGGUUUGGUAUGAUGUUUCACGUCGAUUUCAUUCACCAAUUUCCUUCCUCUGUUAGCUUUUGUUUUGAUUCGUUUUUAGAGAGUCAUUUUAGUUUUAAUCUUAAUUUGUGUCAUCUUAUUUGAUCUUAUAGUAAUUUUGUGUAAAUGGAUUUUGUUUGAAGUGCGGGGGUCAUAGCCAAGAAUAUCUGCAAGUCAUGUCUUCAUCUUUGUGGUGUAAAGAAGAAAUGAUUGGAUGUUCCAAUCAGUCUUUCCACAAAAAUAAAAGAAGCUCAGUGUGGAGAGACUCGGAGAAAAAAAAAGAAAAAUUUAAAGAGGGUAUCUAAGUAAUAAAUCUUAGUAGCUGUUUUCUUUCUUGUGAAGUCUCAUUGUUAGCCAUAAUUACCUAUUUUUGGGCAAUACAAAGAGGACUCCAAUAUUUUUAUGGUCCUUUUUUAUAAGUGUUGUUUUUGUUGUUUAGAAAUAAAUAUAUAUGGUAUAACAAAUUUCAUAUAACUACAUUGUGAAUUCAAACUUGAGAAAAAGAAAUGUAGCUGUACAUAUUAUUCCAGUCACUGCAUAUAACCAACUCAGUGAGAGAAUAGCAUAUUUUUGUGAUGGUGUGUCAAAAGAACAUGUUAUAGAGUGUGAAUAGAAGAAAAAGCUGUAAACCGUUAUUAUUAUACUUUUUCUGCUGGAAGACAGUAUAAAUGACCCCAGAGACAAACAGAACACACUUGCUCUGUAAAUACUGAAGCUGAAUCAUUUUACAAGUGUCAUACCAGCAAAUUUACAAACGGUGAGUCAGUUCAACACAGUUUUAAGAAAUAAAAAAAAAAAGAGCCUGAUUGGUAUCUUUUGUCUAACUGUUAAGAUAUCAGUAUCAUUUCAAAGAGAGAGAGAAACAAAAAGAAGAUUUAAUCCAAAGCACACUGUACUUAGAUGUGAAGAUUAGAACUUGAACCAGGCAUUUCACAGUGCUCUGUGCAUCCUGACACUUUUAUACUCCUGAGAGGAACUUGUUAGUUGUAUGUUAUUGUUUGUUUCAUCCUGCUUGUUCCUGAUUCGUUUUUUUGGAACACAAUUAUCUGGGCUCUGUGCUAGAGCCUUUAUGUAAUGCUUGUUCUCUGAAUCCGUUCUUUUAUGAAUGAAUUAGGAAAAGUAAACAUUUUGAUACCAUACCUCAGCCUUUGUGAGUUCUAUUGUGGAUGCAUUGGCAGGUUUAAUUUAUUCUAGUGGCAAAAUAAAUGAAAACACUGAAAGGUAAUAAAGCGAGGAAUCAUAAAUGCACUGUGAGUAGUAAAGUACAGGCCAUUUUCCUAUUUGCACAUGUAUAUGUCGGCUUUUUAAAAAAAUAAAAAAAAAACGGCCCUGUGCUUUAGGAUAGUGUGAAGGAUUUUUGGGUUAAUGUAUUCUCAAAUAGACAAAAGCUUCAGAGUUUUGAGGUGAGUUAACAGCUUGGGAAGUAGUAACUGAUAUGUUGCAGUGUACACUUGGAUCUCUUUAUAUAUUAGAGCUAUGUCUCAUCUAAAGAUAUUUAUACAGGGUUAAAAUAUGACACUGAAAUAGUCACUCUCUGUCGCUGCACCAAGUUUUACACAUGUGUGUGGUAAUGAUUUAACUCAUGACAAACAUUUAAUAAUAAUAUGCUCCAGUUGGGUUUUUAAAGUCAUUAAUUGAAUGAAUGGUGUGUUUUCUGAAGUACUUUACCUGCUGCAGGUGUAUUUGUUGUCGUUUUACCCACUUUUUGUCUCAUUUUAUUUUUGUUUCAAAACAACCAGGUAAAGAAAUAUGCUGGAUACUUCUAAAGUAAAUGAUAUGGAGGUGUGAUCAAGUAAUAAUUUAAAGAGAAAAAAAACCCUUGUAAUGUUCAAAUGUAAAAGAAAAUAAGAAAUACAAAUCUAUAAAAAAAAGAGAAAAAAGAAAGAUGCUUCUUUGCUGAUUUCAAGUUUAAUCAGAGUUUUAUUGAUACUUUGUGGUUUAUAUAUUAAUAAUUGUAAUAUACUAUUAAAAUGUACUGUGCAUCCAUUGCUUUCUCUCUUUCCAUUCCCCAUCCUCAGAGAUCCUCCUUCUUUUGUUGAUCAUUCAUGUAUUUCAUUAGUGUGUAAAGAAAUCACAGUUAACUUGUAAACAGAGUGCUGUCUUUGAUACCAGUGUAGUGGUCUUUGUUGUUCUCCCUUGCUCUACCUCUCCUUUCUCUCAUAUUUAACCCUGUCCCUCUCGCGCUCUUUUUCUAUCUCCUGUAAUUACAAAGUAGAUGUUAUAUAGGACUCAUUAAUAUAAUACUUGUAGUGAAUAGAGGAUUUAGGACCAGUCAAGAUAGACCUUUCUCUCAAUGAUCAUGUCAUUCUGAUAUUUGCAGACCAUUAUUUUGAUAGAGGUUCAUUGUAAUUUAUUCCCUGUAUGUUUUAUUUUUUUGUUUGGUUUUGCCACUCUCACAUGGUUUCAGCUAACCAAAGCUCUCAUGGAUGAACGAAAGAGAAGCCGUUGCCGUAAGAUGGAAUUGUACACAAGGCAUUAUUUGGAUCCCCACCCUUGAAUGUUUUAAAAGGGGUGUGCCAUACUACCUUAAAUGCUAACGCUAGAUAUGCAAAACUGUUAUUAUUUGAUUCUCUUUUAAGAGGGACACAAGCUAUAGUCAUGGACAAAGAUUUUAUUAAACAAAACAAAAAAUUCAUAUUGUUUUAUAGAAACGUACCAAUGAUUACCACACUAGUCGUAAUAUCAGUCAUAGUGCUAUAUCUUUUGAUGUUUUUACACUUUGGAAAUAUCCCAAAUGCCACUGGCAUAGGUAUUUUUAAAUAAUACUGUUUUUGAUCUCUUAUUUCUCUCAAAACUUCCAUUAAGUCUAAUCAUUUUAGUCUUAGAUUCCGGGAAUUAGGUUUUGUUUUAAUCUGUUAUCAAUGUUGUUCACACAUAUUGCAUUACAGUGGCGUAUAAGAGACUGUAAAAAUGAAAAGCCCUCCUGCAAAGACCUCUGGCUCCAAAGGAUUAUAUGAGCUGAUUAAUAGAAUAGAUCAAACUCAUGUCCUGAUGUUGGACCAGCAACGCUGUGAUUCAUUGCUAACCUAAAUCAGAGAAAGCAAAGAAAAAAGAUUAGAUCAAAAAUAAAAGCUCAAAGUUUCGUCAAAAUACCAUGUCAAAGGAUGUCCAGAAUUCAGAUCUGUUAGAAUUACACAAGCAGCUGUGUUCAAGCAAGAAAAUACAAGCCUAUUAUAAAGCCUCAAGCUGGGCACACAGUUAGGUUUUUGAAUGUAAUCUCAAUUAAACAUAAUUUAGGUUCCAUUACAGUCAUUUCAUUUAUUUCACCUCAUGAGGUCUUAAGAUUUAAUAUUGUCAAAUUAAUAACAUUAGUGUCUAUUCAUAUUUCGCAUCCAGUAUAGACUGUCAAAUUACAUACAGUAUAUACAGUAAUGACAGCUUUGUUAGACACAAUAUUCCAAUAAAUCCAGCAAGUAUAUGGGACAUUGUGUUAUUUAAAAAAAGACAAUGUCCACAUAUAAUGCAAGUCAAAUAUUAAACUUAAUUGUAAAAUUAUGCUUAAUCAAUCACAUUGGACAAUACAGGACAAGUUUUGUAUUUUAAAAACUAAAAUACCUGUUCCAAGUAUAAAAGCUUAUUGUUUGCCUCAUUUGCACAUUUUAGUGUCAGAAAAUAUCUCAACAGUAGAAAAACAAUAAAUAUAAUAGGAGAUGUUAAAUGCACCAACUUUUGUGUAAAGAUAAAAGAAAGUGUUCCUCCUGUUCAUUUGCAGCAUGUCCCUUUUUUCAUCUGAAUAUUUUAUCAAAUAAAGUAUAACUCAAACACUUACAAACCAAUACAAGAAGCUCAUUAGGAGCUGUAGUUGAUUACAAUUAUGCGGUCAUAUUUAGUUUUUCUCACUGUUGCAGCACCUUGUGGCUAAAAGACUACAAUGAAAUUGUUCAUUUCCCACCUCACACAAUAUAAAAAUGGAUUCUUUUAUCGUUUUGUGAUCCUGUAGCUUGGACUUUAAGGUAGCAUGGCUCUGUUGCUGUAAUUUCAUUUUAUCUCAAACUGACAGCAGUUUACAGCUGAUGAAUGUUACACAUCUUAGUAGACUAGUGUAUCCAUUUGGGGAGAGAGAAGGGGUCUUGGUUUAAGAAAAAAAAAUUAUCAAAAAAGGAAAAAAGUCAACCUGGAAGGUGUUGACAUUUGUAGUGUACUACCGUAUCCAUUUAAACUUGAAUCUUGAGGCAAGUGCUAGGCAAUGGCCAAACAAUUUAUCCCAUCCGCUGUAGGAAAGCCACCCCCUGAAACCACACACACUUAUGAGAUUUCUGUCAUCUUGGAUUCAAAUCUGUUCUAUGGAUAAGAACAACUGUCUCUAAAGCUGGGACAUCAGACGAAGGCUGGUUCAGGCUCUGCUCCAUUUCCAAUUAAUUAGACUGACUUUGAAGGCUUAUUGAACAUUCCUGAGCAUUUAUACCCAAAAGAGGCUUAUUCAUAGUGGUGCUAAUGGUUUUAAACCAGACAAUGUGCCCUUAUCUCAUGAGAGAUACUGGAUACCGUCACAGUGACCACAAAGUUAGUCUCCCAGUCCACAAAGUGACUCUCACUCUAACAUCACCAUUUCUAGUGUCACAUCUCUUUUUUUCAGAAUAUAUGAUCACAAAUCUAGACUGAACUCCUCAAGGUGACAGAAAUAGCACAAAUGUACUGUCGUGUUUUAGGGUGAGUUUCCUUUUCAGUCCAAACCAUCGCCAUCUCACCCCAUGCUCAUUGCUAAAUAUAUAUACAUGCAGUUGCAAUAUAUAUGUGGAUAGAUGAAUAUAUAUUUGCAGUUUUCACUCACUCAACUUCGUCCGAACAAUAUUAGACUGGAGACCUCCGCUGUAUACAGAAUAUUCCUCACACAGUUACAUAUAGUCAUUAUUAGCUUAUGUUCACCAAUACGAGAGUUCACCCCUGGCGUGUUGUCGAGUUUGGAGCAGACCGCAUGGCCUAGAGGGGAGCCUGGAAGCUCUUCAGACUGCAUGGACGGCAGUGUGAGGCUCUGCUGUGCUUCCAUGUUUCUGCAGGCUGAGCACAGAGCUCUCUUCACUGCUGUCUGCCCAUUCCUAACACUUGCCCCUUUUUUUAUGUUAACCGACUUUUUAUGGCGAGAGACAGACAGACUUGACUGACAUCUGAAAGCAUCUUUCAGGUUAUCAUAUGGCUUGCUUAAGCCCUGUUGUAAAAUGUACUAAAAAAAUAAUAAUAAUGAUAAUAUUAAUGGAUGGGGGUCUCUCACAUAUCAAAUGUGGAAAGUCUAAUUUUAUAUUUGUAUUUUCAAAUAAUAAUAUUGACAAAAAAUGUCUGUGAAAGGUUUCCAUCCUCUACUGUGGUCCAGAAAUUGAUGUGUCUGUCUGGAAAAUAAAUAAAAUAAACUGAAUUGUUAUAUGA